UACGUAUGGGGCAAGCGUUAUCCGGAUUUACUGGGUGUAAAGGGGGCGCAGACGGCGCGGCAAGUCCGGAGUGAAAUCCCAGGGCCCAACCCUGGGGCUGCUCUGGAAACUGCCGGGCUGGAGUGCUGGAGGGGCAGGCGGAAUUCCUAGUGUAGCGGUGAAAUGCGUAGAUAUUAGGAGGAACACCGGUGGCGAAGGCGGCCUGCUGGACAGCGACUGACGUUGAGGCCCGAAAGCGUGGGGAGCAAACAGG
rnacentral:rRNA from 1 species